GAUGGGAGAUGAUAAGGAAACACAGGACUUUCCAGUGUGCAGUCUUCGAGAAAGGCUGACAGUGUGUCACAUCCCUUGGUGGUGUGAGAAAACAGACCUGAGAAGCAGUGUCUUUGCUCAGUCUCUCCACGUGUUUGUGGCAUGUUCCUCAGCUUGGAACCCCCCUGGGUCCUGGCCUGGUGAUCAUUCCUCCCCAGCUCCCCGACACCUGCUUUCGAUACAGGAAACUUGUCAGGGGUGCACCAACUGUGUUCCGUGUGGUCACAUGACCUGGGUCAGUCUCACGCCAGCCGUUCCCUGGAAGUCACCCGGGGUAGACCGAGUAUCCCCUUUGCACGUGGGGCUGUGCCGACGGAGGCCUUCUUCAGCACG
rnacentral:lncRNA from 1 species